GUGUGCGCGCUCGUCCGCCCGCCAGUCCUCUCAACGCGCGCUUGGCCGCCCGACGACGCGGGAGCCGCACGCGCCGGACGAGGCUCGCUGCGCUCCCUGUUGCCCAGCGCGGGCCCGUUGAGGCGGAGCCCUCAGUUCCCGGCCAGGACACGGUCUGGGCCGCCGAAUCUCCGGCCGAAGAGCGGCGGCGGCAGCGGCGGGAAAAAAAUGAAGAAUGAAAUUGCUGCCGUUGUCUUCUUUUUCACAAGGCUAGUUCGAAAACAUGAUAAGUUGAAAAAAGAGGCAGUUGAGAGGUUUGCUGAGAAAUUGACCCUAAUACUUCAAGAAAAAUAUAAAAAUCACUGGUAUCCAGAAAAACCAUCGAAAGGACAGGCCUACAGGACUUCCUUUCUGCCACUGGGCUCUUGCAAGUACAGCACUAUUCAAGGAGUCUAAAAAGGAGGUAAACAUAUUAUUUGCUAAUUUCUCAUGUACUGAAAGUCAAGUGAGCUUGUGUUCUAUUGACAAGAAGAGAAUCAAAAUAGUUUAUUUUCCUUUUCAUUUUUAAUCCA
rnacentral:misc_RNA from 1 species